AGUGAACGCUGGCGGUAGGCCUAACACAUGCAAGUCGAACGGCAGCACAGUAAGCGCUUGCUCUUACGGGUGGCGAGUGGCGGGCGGGUGAGGAAUACAUCGGAAUCUACUUUGUCGUGGGGGAUAACGUAGGGAAACUUACGCUAAUACCGCAUACGACCUACGGGUGAAAGCAAGGGAUCUUCGGACCUUGCGCGAUUGAAUGAGCCGAUGUCGGAUUAGCUAGUUGGCGGGGUAAAGGCCCACCAAGGCGACGAUCCGUAGCUGGUCUGAGAGGAUGAUCAGCCACACUGGAACUGAGACACGGUCCAGACUCCUACGGGAGGCAGCAGUGGGGAAUAUUGGACAAUGGGCGCAAGCCUGAUCCAGCCAUACCGCGUGAGUGAAGAAGGCCUUCGGAUCGUAAAGCCCUUUUGUUGGGAAAGAACAGCAGUAGGUUAAUACCCCGCUGUUCUGACGGUACCCAAACAAUAAGCACCGGCUAACUUCGUG
rnacentral:rRNA from 1 species